GACGAACGGUGGCAGCGUGCUUAAAACAUGCAAGUCGAACGAAGUGGCGAAAGGGUGAGUAAUACGUGGGUAACCUGCCCUCCUUUUUGGGAUAAGCCUUUGAAACGGGGUCUAAUACCGAAUAAAGGGGGAUGGGCUCGCGGCCUAUCAGCUGGUUGGUGGGGGGAUGGCCUACCAAGGCGGUGACGGGUAGCCGGCCUGAGAGGGUGACCGGCCACAGUGGGACUGAGAGACGGCCCAGACUCCUAGGGGAGGCAGCAGUGGGGGAUAGGGCACAAUGGGCGAAAGCCUGAUGCAGCGACGCCGUGUGGGGGAUGAAGGCUUUUGGGUUGUAAAGCUCUUUCGCGAUCGAACGGGUAGGUGUAGGAGACGCGCCGUCUAAUUCCGUGCCAGCAGCCGCGGUAAUAC
rnacentral:rRNA from 1 species